rnacentral:other from 1 species
CGCCCCCUGCGGUGUGCGUGAGCGGGUCCUGAAUGUACCUUGACCCUAAUUCACGGCCCUGGGGGCGAAGUGCCGGUGCCAGUGUGCAUGUCCGCCGGCGAGCGGAAAGCCUGCGGCACCGCCGACGCCCCCACCUGAACCUCAGGUUCAAGGGCGACGGCCCGCCACGGCACAGGCGGGGGGCGC